UCGAAGAAUUAACACUAAUAAUCAGCAAUGAUUUCACAAGCCAUCUCUUACUGAACUCUCUCAAUAACCUCUCAUGGUAAGAAAUGCCCCCAUUUCUUACCCUUUGCAAGGUAAGCAAAGGGGUCAGAGAGGUUAAGUGUGUUACUCAAGGUCACACAGCUUCAAAUGGCAUCCCCACUCCUCCCAGGGUCAAGUCCAGGCUUCCCAUGGGAGGAGGGGAGACCAAGGCCUGCAGGAUCUGAGACCUGUGAGCCCGGCUUCCAAAAGGGAAAGAAAGGUGAGGCCAGGGGCAUGGGGUCCUAGCUGCCUCUUCCGGAUGGGGCAGGCGGAACUUCCCGAGAUAAGGGCAGUCCACAAUGGGGGGCUGUGUGGUGUGGCCCGUCUCCCGGCCACAGGAAAUGAGUGGCCUCCGCACCAUUAAUCUGCCACCGCCUGCGGCAUCCUCGGGAAGGGCGACUCAGGUUGGGGGGAAUGUUCCUGUGCACCCCACCCACCGUCCCAGCCGGAGGGACUGGCCCUGCCACUCCAGGCCUUCCUUCCAGGACCAUACAUACAAGAGGAGGCUACCCGAAGGGGCAGGGGGUGGGGGCAGGCAACCUGGGCAUGGGUACUGGUUCCUGGGUC
rnacentral:lncRNA from 1 species